GUGGCCAAAAUAUUCUUAUCGGAAAGCGAAUCGUUUCGGAGUUUAAAUCAUUUCUUUCGGUUUAUGGGCUCUGAAGCGUGAACUCUUUAUCUUCCUUCCUCUCUCUCUCUGUCUCUUAUAUUUCAACAAUUUUGUUUUAUAUUAGGUAUUAUGUUCUUCAUAUUAUCUAGGUUCUACUUAGAUUUGACUUUUUGCCUUUUCCUUCUUGGUUUCUCAAAUUUUUUUUUUUUAAUUCUUUGCUCUGGAAUCGAUGGCCUCUCCUUUUGAUUAAUUUUUGGAUGAUCUUUUUGGAUGAUCUUUUCGAUUUUGAUUCUUGAUAGUUCGUCUAACAAUGAUGACCUUUCUACUGCUCGUCGUUUUCCUGCAUGUGCUAGCAGGAGAUCUAGGAACAUUGUAGUUUAGGGUUCAUUUUUGAGCCAGACUCCAAUGUCAAUUCUAAGAGAGGAAACGCUGCUGUGAUUCCUACUGGGGGUUCCAGCGAGCAAACUUUGGUUAGUAUCUCCCAUCAUGUGUUAUAUGCUUAUAACAUCUCCGAGCACGGAGGAGUCCGUCCGUGGUUUGAAGGAAACUCUAGGGAUUCCUCCAAAAAUUGUAUUUCUCAUGCCCUCUAGUUCUGAUGGUUCGUGGUUCGCAGAGCAAGCUAUUGUUAGAGAUGCCAGAUGGUUAUCUUCAAACUCUUUGUUGGUGAUAUCCGAACUGUAGUGGGUCUCCUAGUGUUUGCUGGUUAGCUUUGUUAAACUAUGUGUCCACAACUUCCCGAGGCCAGUUAACUCGGUUUCUAAUAAAGGAGGCAUGUACUCUCUCUCUCGGGUAAUCCUCAUAUUGUUAGCACUCCUCCCAGAAAGAUGAAGGACUGGGAAGAGAAUUACUUAUUUGUGAAGGUUGACGCACAUUCCAUUUCUGACGAUUUAACGUAGACCGUCAUGCGUGAUUGGAAUGAAAAUCCUGCCUAAAGAGAAGAUCGAUGGGAUGCAGCUCACACCAUUCUUCCAAUAGUUGAAGGCCAUCCAAGAGCUAAUUGGGAAACCAUUACUCCAGCUUGUAUCGAGUCAGUUCUUACCAUUAUUUCUUCUCCAUCUACCGAUCUUUCUCUUUCUCUCGUGCUUUCUUCUCGACCUACUGCAAGGUAUCCAUGGGUUUCGAAUCCCACCUUAGCCAAUAGAUUGGCUGAGGUUUCCAAAAAGAGAUAAGUGAGAAGCAAAAAUUCAAACACUGCGGUGAGUAGAGUUGCUACCCUAUCCUCUACAUAGGGGAGGGCUUAGGCACCAAGCUUUCCGAGCAGUAGGGAGGUCGUCUAGACCUCUGAGGCUGAAGUUUCUACCACUCAAUUGCUACCUUCUCCUUUGAUCCCUGA